GUACACCCUAGUUAUAAGAAACAAAUCAUAAAAUUAUCUAAUAAAAACAUAAUAUGUUUUUAAAUAAGGAACAAAAUGGUGAACCUAAUGGGCGGUUGCGACUCAAGCAAGGCAGCUUACCGCAAAGUCUCCAAGUCAGCUCCUCAGCUCCCCAAGUGCUUUGCCAAUACUGAGACAAAAUCUGCACGAAAACACCGAUCUCUACUCAAUAAGUAUCACUGAUAAUUUUUCCAACAAAUUAGUGUAAACAUUGAGAUUAAACCGAAAAAUCAUGAAGAAUGUAGAGAGAGAAACUAGAGAGAAGG
rnacentral:lncRNA from 1 species